UGUCGCUCACGCAGAAGCCCUCCCUCUCUCCUCACAACCCAACCCUCUCGCUCUCUCCAUCACACUCCCUCACGCAGAAGGAGCGGUAGCAGAGCCCUCUCCAUCAUCGCAGAAGUAGCAGCAGCAGAACCCUCUCUCGCUCACACCGAGAGCUUCGAUUAUAUUCUGAACUAGUGCAAUCGAUCCUAUCCUAUUGAUCAAGGCAUGGAAGGAAAAUGCAUUUUUAGGUACUUUGCUCCAAUUUCUCUUACAACUCCUCAUUCUUAUAUUAUUUUGAAAUACUCAUUAAACUUAACAUUGGUAUGCAUUAAGCGAAUAGUUGAUUUACCUGGUAGGGACCUUCAAAAGUCUAUUAGUAAGAAAGAUUAAGAGAGCUUAUAUGUUAUCCUUUCAAAACUGUUGCCAUAUAUAGUUAUUGAUUUAUAUAAUGAUUCUCAAGAUAUUAUUGGAAUUUUGUGAAACUUGAAACUAAACUCCAAGGUAUAAGGCUGAAGAGUGGAGGAUGAACUGAGUUACCAUCCACUGAAAUGGUUUUAUUCAGGGAGAACAUAAUGUACAUGCAGGUAAGGAUGAUGAAAACUCUCUAUUGGCCAAAGCACUAAUUUUACAAAUGGAGUCCCUACCUAAACUUUGAAUUGUGGGUUCCAUAGGUGGUAAUUUUCGUUUCUAUGAUGCAUCAUCAUGUAUCUUUGCUGCUUGUAAAUCUAAUUUCCUUUUAAUUGAGUUAAACUUUGAAUCUUUUUUAAUUGCUCCUUAAUUGUGAGUAUUAUGAGUUUACCACUACUUUGUGUUUUCAUAUGGGAUAUACUUUAAUACGCAAUGAAUAUACUUUAUUUCCUCUAUAAAAUUGGGAUGCAAGUCUAGACAUUUGAACCAGCCAGGAAGUCAUCAGCUUCUACAAAAGUUGGAGGAUAUCCACGGCGUACCUGUCCGCGGUGCGACAUAGCUUCUACAAAUGCGGGAGGAUAUCCACGACGUACCUUUCCGUGGUGCGACAUAGCAUGUACUUUAUGUACAUCAAGCUCCCCAUCCAAUCCUGAAAGAAUGUUCUAUCAGUGUCCAAACUGCACUUUUUUUCAGUGGUGCUGUGAUUAUAUGGAAGGGAUGAACGACAAUAUAAACUUCAAGAAUCGUAAUGUAUAACAAAAAAAUCAGUCACAAGUAUCACAAGAGCAUCUUAUGUUCAAGCCUGAACCGGUCAUGCAACAACAAAUUCUUGAUGCCUAUGGCGUAUGCAACAGUUUCUAUUUUUCUUGUGUGUAAUGAAUAUGUUUGUUUUUGCUCUACAUUUAUUGAAUAGUGUUUGAUAUGACUAAGAGUUGGUCUUGCAACUCAUGAAACAGUUAUUGUUGUUGAUAUGAUGUUGAAACAGUGUUGUAAUGGCUUGAAUUGUAACAUAUAUUUUGUUUACAUUUAAAGAAGUGGGUGGCUUAUUAAUUGAUUGAGUUAUUGUC